rnacentral:sRNA from 1 species
UCAAGAACAGAAAACAGUGCUAGCCUCUGUUUUUUCAGUGUUGUCUGCCAUCUAUGCCUCACAGACUGAGCAAGAGUAUCUAAAGAUAGAAAAAGCCUCAUUCGGGUCUUACAAAAUAUGGAACAGUGUCAGAAAAAACCAGAGAACUCGGCGGAGUCUAACACAGAAGAAACUAAAAAGACUGAUUUAACCCAAGAUGAUUUCCACUUGAAAAUCUUAAAGGAUAUUUUAUGUGAAUUUCUUUCUAAUAUUUUUCAGGCAUUAACAAAGGAGACGGUGGCUCAGGGAGUAAAGGAAGGCCAGUUGAGCAAACAGAAGUGUUCCUCUGCAUUUCAAAACCUUCUUCCUUUCUAUAGCCCUGUGGUGGAAGAUUUUAUUAAAAUCCUACGUGAAGUUGAUAAGGCGCUUGCUGAUGACUUGGAAAAAAGCUUCCCAAGUUUGAAGGUUCAGACUUAAAACCUGAAUUGGAAUUACUUCUGUACAAGAAAUAAACUUUAUUUUUCUCACUGA